rnacentral:pre_miRNA from 1 species
CCGCCAGUCAAAAUGGUUGUGAUGUGUGGAUGCAUGUCAUAUCACAGCCAUUUUUGACGAGUUGGG